CGCACCUUGCGCCACGUGGUAUUCCACGGGGCACGCCUGUUUGAGUGUCACGUAAACCCAUCGCGUCGCGGAUUGUCAUGAUCUGCGGGGCGGAUUUGGACGCUGCCGUAGUUGGCUCGUCUCGAAAUGCAUUAGCCAGUCCGAGGACGCGCGCCACUGGUGUGAUAAUUCACUUUGCGCCGCUGGUGUGUCCGACGAAGGCUCAUAAUCGCCCGCAAGGGCAACAAUUUUAAUGCUCUGGCCUCAAAUCAGGUAGGACUACCCGCUGAACUUAA
rnacentral:misc_RNA from 1 species